ACUUUUUUUUGCUGAUGAACUGUAUAAAUGAGUGUCUAAUAGUGUUUUAAAUGUGUGCAUUCUUUAUUUUAGCAUUUUGGUGCAUUUUCUUUAAAAAUUAAAAAUUCUGUCUAAAAACCACAGUAAUGCGCCACCUUCAGCUGAAAACAUAGAAUUUGAGUCAUUUUGAAUAAAUUUUAGCCAAUGGCUAAAGAGUAAAGUACUACGUAAACCAGUAGAGUACUACGUAGCAGCUCCGUGCCAAAGUUAUAAAAGCAACGAGAGUCUCGGCCACGCCCUGUGGCGAGUUGGGAGUUGGAUUUGCAAGCGAGCAUAGGAGGUCAGCGGUAGUUCAGCAUUAGCAUAUAGCAUUAGCAUAUCCUAGUCUUUAGCAUAUCUUUUAGUGUUAUAAAUACUUAUUUAGUGUUAGAUUUGGCUGUUGGAUAUUGUAGUUUAGUUAGUGUUUGGCUGUUAGUGUAAUUGGGAAAGUAUUUCGGGUUUAGUGUUCCAUAUCGUCUUAGUAUUGGUGAGUAGGUGUAGUGUAGUAUGCUUGCGGUGACUCUGUGGGCAUUUUACCCGCGAUUCUGCACACCUCCGUUUGAAGAGGGAGGCUGCCCACCGUGGCUCUUCCGCGAUUUAGAUGCAGCCCACCGACUCUGCUCCCCCACCACGGCGGGCUCCAGUCUGAGGUGAGUCAGCUAAAUAAACGUUUUAACAUCUUCUAAAGACAAUUCCCUACCUAAAUGCAAAGUCUGAGAGACGUGGUUCACUUCCUUUAGCUAGUCAGUCGGCAAUUCUGCAACAGUGGCUCUAACUGACGCAGCACUUGACAGACAGCAUUACAGCGUGAAAUCCAGCUUGUGAACAGGUUCUGUAAGGAAUUCUGUUCAGGAGGUCACAUUUCAGGCUCUCCACAUCAUAUGUGACUGACUUUUACGUUAUAAUGAUCACACACUAGGAAUGUUAUAAAGCGCCUAUAUAGGAGAUUCUUUUGUAUAUUAUCUGACUUUAUAAACUCCCAACAACAAUGUGCUUCUAUUUUUUUUCAGGCUAAAUCUACCCAAGACACUGGCUGUCAGACUGAUUUAGCUGCAACAAUGCACUUGUCCAGGCUGAUGUGAAACCUUCCCUGUAGCAAAGCCAGCCAGAAUGGAGUUCACAGCCGCAGUGUGUCUGGUGACCCACAGGGACCAUGAUGAAAAUUCAUCUUCCAGAAGGUCCCAGAGCGUCCAGACCCCCUGAAAAGACCAAGAUGUGAGGUGUCUGCUGUUGAUUCCAGCUUCCACCUCAGUGACAGUGCAAGCUCAGUGAACUGUUCAAGCCUGGCUGAUCACCUGAUAACCCCUGUCAUCUGGUUAUGACAGCAUGAGGAUGUCCUCACACACCUGUAACCUAUCAGCUCAUCCUGCUGAAUAGAGAGAGAAGAGACCACACCACAUCUCCUGUUCCUGGAAAGCCUUCAGCCAUCCUUCGAUGACUGAGAACCUCCAUCAGCUCUGUCUCCUGUCUGCCUACAAUUAUUAUAAUAAAUAUUGUGUUUGACAAGUUUUUUGUGCUGCC